CGGAACGUGCCCAGUAGCGGGGGAUAACUACUAGAAAGAGUGGCUAAUACCGCAUACGCCCUACGGGGGAAAGGGGGGGAUCGCAAGACCUCUCACUAUUGGAGCGGCCGAUAUCGGAUUAGCUAGUUGGUGGGGUAAAGGCUCACCAAGGCAACGAUCCGUAGCUGGUUUGAGAGGACGACCAGCCACACUGGGACUGAGACACGGCCCAGACUCCUACGGGAGGCAGCAGUGGGGAAUUUUGGACAAUGGGGGAAACCCUGAUCCAGCCAUCCCGCGUGUAUGAUGAAGGCCUUCGGGUUGUAAAGUACUUUUGGCAGAGAAAAAAAGGUAUCCCCUAAUACGGGAUACUGCUGACGGUAUCUGCAGAAUAAGCACCGGCUAACUACGUGCCAGCAGCCGCGGUAAUACGUAGGGUGCAAGCGUUAAUCGGAAUUACUGGGCGUAAAGCGUGUGUAGGCGGUUCGGAAAGAAAGAUGUGAAAUCCCAGGGCUCAACCUUGGAACUGCAUUUUUAACUGCCGAGCUAGAGUAUGUCAGAGGGGGGUAGAAUUCCACGUGUAGCAGUGAAAUGCGUAGAUAUGUGGAGGAAUACCGAUGACGAAGGCAGCCCCCUGGGAUAAUACUGACGCUCACACACGAUAGCGUGCGGAGCAUACAGGAUUAGAUACCCUGGUAGUCCACGCCCUAUACGAUGUCAACUAGCUGUUGUGGCCGUUAGGCCUUAUUAGCGCAGCUCACGCGUGAAGUUGACCGCCUGGGGAGUACGGUCGCAAGAUUAAAACUCAAAGGAAUUGACGGGGACGCCCACGAGCUGUGGAUGAUGUGUAUUAAUUCCAUGCAACGCGCAUAACAUUACCUACCCUUGACAUGUCUGGAGAGCCCAAGAAAUUUGGCCGUGCUCGCAGAAAAACAGAAACACAGGU
rnacentral:rRNA from 1 species